ensembl:lncRNA
CUCGUAAUGCCAUCAUACAAAAUACGUUAAGCUGUUUUCUGACCAAGCGAAGCUGCGUGGCCGGGUGGUUUGUGCCCUGUGCACGCUGCCUUGUGACAACGGCUCAUCCGCAGCGCCGCCGGCAGCGAGGCCGGCACGGGUGGGAGGCACGCGUGGCCACAGCAGCGCCUGCGAUUGGUGUGGCGACUCGUGUCCCCUCGGCCACGGGAAAUGAAGGCUCUCAGCAAACCGUAGACGUGAAGAACAGAUGCUCCCGUUGCACCGAGGGUUUCUGUGCAGCUGAUGCACUUAGCCUAGUUUAUUUCACGGAAACUUUUAAGCUGGAUCUCGUCCAACGCCCAGGGAAGCAGAUGGCUUCUGUUGGUUUGAGUUGGUUUUCACGUCGAGUCCAUUCAGGUCUCCGAUUGCAAGUGGUUCCAGAGGGUUCUGAUUUCUUUUUUUCUCCUGACGUUCUGAUAAGAUUCGGUGUUAGGGCGACAGCUUAGCACUGACCGGUAGUUUUACAAAACCGAAUUUUGCUUUGGAAGGAUUUGUGCUGCGGAAGGGCAGAGCAGUCAGCUCAGUGACACGAAAACUCACCUCUGCGCACGGAGAGCUGCGGUGACGCCGUGGUGCUGGCUGGAUGCUUCCGGGGAGGUGGGCCAGCAGGAAAUCUGUUUCUGUGUGUUUAUGUGGACCUUCUAACCAGUGCUGCUUAGGAUAAAUAUGCCAUUUGCAGCAAGGAUCUGCAUCAAGGGACAGUAAAGAAAUUUGAUCGCCUGUUUCCUCUGAAGCAAGGGUGGAUUGAAAACCGAUAUUUCAGUCACAAAGCUUGCUGCAAGGCACCGAGGAUGCACCGAUCUGUAUUUAACGUUGGGAAGGCAAAUGUUGUGGCAUAUGUACUUGUACUCACUGAAAGCCAAAGAUUUGCCUCUAAUGUUUUUGCUCUCACUGCUGUCUGUGUUCCCUGUCAAAGCCUUGCAGAUUUGUACCCGUGCAAAGGAUUGCUGAGCUGCCAGACGUGGAUGAAAUGACUGAGUGGGGAAAAAACCUCUGCACAGAGGGCUGAGCUAUGAGAUCCUUGGAGCAUCCCAAACGCAUGCUAGGGUCCAGCACCGCAGCCGCGCUCCCUGCUGGUCCGGCUGACCCUGACCCUGGCGGGUGCCGUGGGAGGCACAGCUUUCCUCCCGUUGGGAAACACCAGCGCGUCGGGAAGGGUUUGGAGAGCUGCGAGGUGCUCAGCCACUGCUGUUCGCGGUCUCGCUCUGGUCUCUGCAAAACGGGAAGUGUUUGCCCUAUGUAAAUUCACUCCUGUAAUUUGUAAGAGGAGAUCGCUUCCUGUCCUAAGCUGUUAUGUGGUAUGGCUGCAAGCUGUCAGAUGCUGUAGCAAUGGAUCCCGGAGGCGGCUGCUUUCUA